rnacentral:tRNA from 1 species
GGGCGUGUAGCUCAGCGGUAGAGCAGCGGACUUUUAAUCCGUUGGCCGUGGGUUCGAUCCCCACCGCGCCCA